CCCACAAAACCCUCCUCCUCUCCCACUAAAACCCUCCUCCGUCGAAACCCACCUCCAAAACCCAUGAAACCCUAGCUCCUCCACCAAAAUCCACCACCGACACCCAUGAGGCCCUCCUUCGAUGCCCAUGAGGUUGGAAUCCUCUGCCGAUUCCAUAUGCCUCUGUAGGAUGUGCUACGAGGAGGAAGACGAGAACAACACGAGUAUGGAAUCCCCUUGUGGAUGUUCUGGAUGUUUGGAUCGAUUACGACGGUGUGACGCGCCAUUUGUAAGUAGACCAUCGGCUAUCCAAAGAUGAACUCCGCCUUGCUCGAAGCGCCACUCUAUCUCAGCGAUUACCUGAAGCAGGAAUUCUACUUUGGUUUGUUGCUUUGACGGGGAUGAAGUACGAGCUCAACUGUGUGCUAUCGUGGAAUCUGUUCGUCGAGAUGAUAACUGUCAGCAGAAAAUUCAUGUCUCCGGGGAAGAUUGGAGCGAUCGUUGGAGGAGUUUUUGCGUUCGUGAUGGUGCUUGGGGCAGGGCUUUGUGUGUGGCUGAAGAUGAGGAAGAGGAUGGCAAGAGAUGCUGCCGCCAAUAGCAGCAACGUGCUAGUAUUGGGGGCUCUAAAGAGCCUACCGGGGAUGUCGAGGGAGUUCAAGUUCAAGGACCUCGACAAAGCGACCAACAAUUUUGACAAGAAGAUGAAGCUAGGCAAAGGGGGCUUCGACGAGAUGUAUUGGGGCAUGUUGCCUGGGGAGAACAAGUAGGUUGUCUUGAAGCGAUUCUUCAGAGGUGGCACCUUCGCUCCAAACGACUUCCUCAAGGAACUCACCAUCAUCAACUGCCUUCACCAUAAGAACCUCAUCCCCCUUAUUGGUUGUGUCCUUGUUGCCACUCAAUUCGAAAGUAAUCUCUCAAAGUCCUUUGUCUUUACCAACAGGUAAUUGUUCAUAUAAUUUAAAUUCAAUAUUACAUUUGUUGGGAUUGUCAUUGCUAUCGAGGAUAGUUGCUUGUGCAAUUUGACAAUUUUAAUUUUUCCUUGCUCCAUACCUAUGAUAUUAGAUCAAAUCAAAAGAUUUAUUAUUAUUAUUAUUAUUAUUAUUAUUAUUAGAUCUUCAAGCUUUAUAAAUCGUGUGAUUUUUUAUCGUGACAAACAUGGUGUGAGUUCUUUGCAAAAAAUGGAUAUCAACUAUUAGAGACACAGAAAGAGACAGGCAGUUCUUUAUCAUGACAAACAUGGUGUGAUGAUGGGACAUUAACAAGCUAGCUAGCAGUUCAAAACCUUUUUGCAUGUGCCAUUUAUUUGAUAAGUUAAGAGAAACUUACCAUUUAAAGCAUGGAGGAAGAAUGCAACUUGGACUUUUCUUGAAGGGUGUAGGCUUAAGACUGGAAGAUGCUCUUCUUUUCUGGGAAUCAAAGUUCUCUCAGAAGAUGAAUGUGGAAAGAAACUGAAAGUGGAGUUUUUAUUUUGCCAAGAAGGACUCAUAUAAAUUUCCAAGAAGAUACAAUAUUACUAGAAAGAUUUAAUCCAAGAAGCUAGAUAUAUUAGAAUUAAUAUACAUGUCUAGUAGGUAGGAUUUUUGCUUUUAUAUAAACUUAACAUGUAUCUAAAGUUUGUAGAUUAUGUCUAUAUAUUUUCAUUUUGAAUUGUAUGACGCAUGUUUGGUUCAAUAGUAAAAAGAUUGAUUAGCUGUA